CAGCAGCCGGAAAUGAUAGAAAAAAAAUAUUACUGAUACUGAACAAGCAAACGCAAACUGUAACGGAAACGAGACAGGAAUGUCACGGGAUUGUGCUCCCGCUGCAAGGGCGCCAACCCACGUACAUCAUCGUCAUCAUCUGCAGGGAAGGUAAACACAGCACGGGGCGCCGCUCUGCAACACGGAAGCUGAGGAUCACCAGCGGCUGUCAGGCGGCAGGGAGAGUAGUGCAGUAUGCUUAGUGUAGAGGAGAGUAGUGCCAGAGGAAGAAGUGAGUAUGUGUUCACGGGUUUAUCUUUCUCAGUUGGUAAAUGUGCCAGAACGAACUGUUGUAGGAAUCUCCUUGAUGCUCCUGUUCCUCUACCAUAUUGUAUAGGAAACCAAGCCAUUCAAGAUGUACGAGAUAACUAUAAAUAUCUUGGGGUCAGGGUGUAUUCCUCCCUAAGGUUUCACUUGCAUGUGAGAGAAAUCACUGGCAAGGCUGGAGGCAUUGGUUACUGUAUUUUAAAGGGUACCCUUUGCUGAUUUCAUGAAGGCAGUUUUCAUCUCUCAUAUUCACCCUAUCUUGGACUUUGCCUCUGUGGUUUGGUUCACUGUUUAUACAGGUGACAUGACCCAGGCUUUUAGAAAAUGUUCAGAGGAGAUGGACCAAGAAAAUUGCCGGUUUCCACGAUCUACCAUAUAGUGAACGUCUCGCUAGAUUGAGUCUUGACUCCAUUAAAGGAAGGUUGAUCAGAGCUGAUCCUAUUAUGGUGUUCAACAUUCUGAAAGGGUUUUGUCCUAAUCUAGGUCACCUCUUUGCUAAAAAUCACAACAGACAAGCUUUUUGUGCCUCGUUACAACACUGAUGUUCGAGCUCAUGUCUUCUCAGUGCGGGUCAUUAGCAUUUGGAAUAAUUUACCAUAAUCAGUUGUCUUGGUGAAUUCUAUUAAUGCUUUUAAACAGCAUCUCGACACUUCUUUUGGUCAAAUUUUGUGUGAUUUUCAUUGACUUUGGGUUGUUGAGUAUGACUUUGAAUUGUAAAAUUGUGUCCUGUGCUGUGCUGUGUCUCCACUCGGGAUUGCCAACCUGACUGCAUUGUCUUGCCACUUGCUCAAGAGUGUUAUGGCAGUGGUUUGUGUGGUCUUGGUGAUGCCACAUUAGCCAACCAUCAGAUCAUCUAAAGGACAAUCUACUUGCUGUCUUGGUUGUAGGCGUCACCUGAUUCUAGAUGGGGUUCUCCCCAUCUAGGUAAGAAAUGUAGGUCUCAAAUAAAGGAACAAGACUUCAGACAAAAGCCAGAUUGGUGAGGAUCAUUGUGCUGGAACAUCAUCAUCAUUUCAUAGACGCCUGCUCCUAGGAGCUGCCACCAGGGGACGGCCACGGCAGAAGAGUUUCCAACUGUAACGCAUCACAGCAAUGCUAGGGAUGCUAACACAGGCCUCCCCACAGAGUAGCAGAGGGCAGAGGGCGGCGUGCGGCCCUGCAUUGCAUCAAAUCAGCUGCCCCAUCACGGCCAUGCCCACGCCCGUCAUUCUGGGCCAAGGAGAACCUCGGGUGGCAGGCAGCACAGCGGGGGAGGCGGCGGUGCCAGGCCAGGAGGAAUUUGGCGAUGACAUUUACUGUCUGGCGAGGGAGCAGCCGUGGGUGGUGGCAGCAACUCAUCGAGCGGCGUGGAGGAGGGAGCCGCCAGGGUGGACCACGCCUACAGCCUGCACGUCACCGCCCGCCAUGCACUAAGGGCUGUGGGCGUGCAUGACCGCCAACCAAAGACUCAGCCCAGAGGAAGAGCCAGGCCAGCACCACCACAGGGACAGAGGACGAUGAGAGAGUGUUCCAACGCUGCUCCAACUCAAGGUUCAUAGGCCACACGCUGAGCCCUGCCAAGAUGUCCUGCCAGGUGGUCGGCCUCCACCCCUACACCUCCCACUGGUUCCUCCUGCUGCCCCACUACAAGGAUGUGCCAAGUAUGCCCUCCAGCCUGCAGUCCUUGGAUGGUGAGUGCAGUAACGUGCCCCCAUGCCUCACCCACCCUUGCCUUCAUGUCACCUGGCAAUGCAACUCUGCCUCAGACUCCAGUAAUUUAUGUUCACCCACCCUGCUGCCAGCA